UUGUCUAAACCGCUCAGGUGCAUUUCCUUAGUCUUUCUGGGUGACAUAUUCUGGAACUCCAUGUUUAUCACUGGCAGUAAAAUCUUACUUAGGACUAACUAGGAUUUCAUUUUUAAGUGGAUGAGUAGGCUGUGGUUCCACCUUCUUGCCCACUGCCUAUGACUAGAAAGGUUACAGCAUGCAUUUAUUAAUUGCACCCAGGAAGCCAGUCAUCCUCCCGAUGACCUGUGAAAUAGGUGUUAUUAUCAUUCCCACUUCCCAGAUGCUAAAGUCAGAAUAGAGCCCUGAUGUGCCACCAGCCAGAGUGACACAGCAGGAAGCAGCAGAGCGAAGAUCUGAUCCCAAGCAGUGGGAGCCCCUGAGGUUGUUUGCUUAAUCCCCACACCGGAUGGCCUCCCAACCAGUGACCCCGGGCACGCUGCUGAGCUGGUGUGUGGGGGCCAGGGUGUGACCCUUGCAGAGAUGACAAAAGAUGAUUUUCCGAUGCAGCGGGCAUCUCCGGACCAGUGUGGCCUCAGACAGUGGUCAGAGCUGUGAGUUGAAGCCCUGAUUGAAAUGCAGACCAAUCCCUCUGCAAGAGAAGAACGCAAGUUAUCACAUCUUAACUCCUUAUGAAGGAACCGGGGCGCACAGCAGGAGGUGAGAAGCCGGCGAGUGAGCAAAGCUUCA